rnacentral:rRNA from 2 species
AACAGCUCAAAUUUGAAAUCUGGCCCUCGGGUCCGAGUUGUAAUUUGCAGAGGAUGCUUUUGGCGCGGUGCCUUCCGAGUUCCCUGGAACGGGACGCCUUAGAGGGUGAGAGCCCCGUACGGUUGGACACUAAGCCUCUGUAAAGCUCCUUCGACGAGUCGAGUAGUUUGGGAAUGCUGCUCUAAACGGGAGGUAAAUUUCUUCUAAAGCUAAAUACCGGCCAGAGACCGAUAGCGCACAAGUAGAGUGAUCGAAAGAUGAAAAGCACUUUGAAAAGAGGGUUAAAUAGCACGUGAAAUUGUUGAAAGGGAAGCGUUUACGGCCAGACCUUUUCUUGGGGGAUCAUCCGGCGUUCUCGCCGGUGCACUUCCCCAGGUUUAGGCCAGCAUCGGCUUCCGCGGGGGGAUAAAAGCAGUGGGAAAGUAGCUCCCUCGGGAGUGUUAUAGCCCUAAGCAUAAUACCCUCGCGGGGGCCGAGGACCGCGCUUCGGCAAGGAUGCUGGCGUAAUGGUCGUCAACGACCCGUCUUGAAACACGGACCAAGGAGUCGAACAUUUGUGCGAGUGUUUGGGUGUUAAACCCCUACGCGGAAUGAAAGUGAACGGAGGUGAGAGCCCCUUCCGGGGGUGCAUCAUCGACCGAUCCUGAUGUCUUCGGAUGGAUUUGAGUAAGAGCAUAACUGUUCGGACCCGAAAGAUGGUGAACUAUGCGUGGAUAGGGUGAAGCCAGAGGAAACUCUGGUGGAGGCUCGCAGCGGUUCUGACGUGCAAAUCGAUCGUCAAAUCUGCGCAUGGGGGCGAAAGACUUAUCGAACCAUCUAGUAGCUGGUUACCGCCGAAGUUUCCCUCAGGAUAGCAGUGUUGUGUUCAGUUUUAUGAGGUAAAGCGAAUGAUUAGGGACUCGGGGGCGCUUAUUAGCCUUCAUCCAUUCUCAAACUUUAAAUAUGUAAGAAGCCCUUGUUGCUUAGUUGAACGUGGGCAUUCGAAUGUAUCAACACUAGUGGGCCAUUUUUGGUAAGCAGAACUGGCGAUGCGGGAUGAACCGAACGCGGGGUUAAGGUGCCGGAGUGGACGCUCAUCAGACACCACAAAAGGUGUUAGUACAUCUAGACAGCAGGACGGUGGCCAUGGAAGUCGGAAUCCGCUAAGGACUGUGUAACAACUCACCUGCCGAAUGUACUAGCCCUGAAAAUGGAUGGCGCUCAAGCGUCCCACCCAUACCUCGCCCUCG